UCUGGUUGAUUCUGCCAGUAGCAUAUGCUUGUCUCAAAGAUUAAGCCAUGCAAGUCUAAGUACACACGGCCGGUACAGUUACACUGCGAAUGGCUCAUUAAAUCAGUUAUGGUUCCUUUGAUCGCUCCAACGUUACUUGGAUAACUGUGGCAAUUCUAGAGCUGAUACAUGCCGACGAGCGCUGACCCCCGCCCCCGGGGGGAUGCGUGCAUUUAUCAGACCCAAAACCCACGCGGGGCGAAACCCCCCGGUACCCGCCCGCCGUCCCCAGCCCCUGGGGGCGGGCGCGGCGGGGCCCGGGACGGUCGCCCCGGCCCCCCAGUUUGGUGACUCUGGAUAACCUCGAGCCGAUCGCUGGCCCCGCGUGGCGGCGACGUCUCAUUCGAAUGUCUGCCCUAUCAACUUUCGAUGGUACUCUACGUGCCUACCAUGGUGACCACGGGUAACGGGGAAUCAGGGUUCGAUUCCGGAGAGGGAGCCUGAGAAACGGCUACCACAUCCAAGGAAGGCAGCAGGCGCGCAAAUUACCCACUCCCGGCACGGGGAGGUAGUGACGAAAAAUACCAAUGCAGAGCUCUUUCGAGGCCCUGUAAUUGGAAUGGGUGCACUUUAAAUCCUCCAGCGAGGAACAAUUGGAGGGCAAGUCUGGUGCCAGCAGCCGCGGUAAUUCCAGCUCCAAUAGCGUAUCUUAAAGUUGCUGCAGUUAAAAAGCUCGUAGUUGGAUCUCGGGAUCGAGCCGGCGGUCCGCCGCGUGGCGAGCUCACCGCCGGGGCCCGGUGCCCUGCCUCUCGGCGCCCCCCCGGAUGCUCUUCGCUGAGUGUCCCGGUCCCGGGGGCCCGAAGCGUUUACCUUGAAAAAAUCAGAGUGUUCAAAGCAGGCCCCCGUCGCCUGAAUGCCGCAGCUAGGAAUAAUGGAAUAGGACUCCGGUUCUAUUUUGUGGGUUUUCUCUCCCUGAACCGGGGCCAUGAUUAAGAGGAACGGCCGGGGGCAUUCGUACUGUGCCGCUAGAGGUGAAAUUCUUGGACCGGCGCAAGACGGGCCAAAGCGAAAGCAUUUGCCAAGAAUGUUUCAUUAAUCAAGAACGAAAGUCGGAGGUUCGAAGACGAUCAGAUACCGUCGUAGUUCCGACCAUAAACGAUGCCGACCCGCGAUCCGGCGGCGUUAUAACCACGACCCGCCGGGCAGCGUCCCGGGAAACCAGAGUCUUUGGGUUCCGGGGGGAGUAUGGUUGCAAAGCUGAAACUUAAAGGAAUUGACGGAAGGGCACCACCAGGAGUGGAGCCUGCGGCUUAAUUUGACUCAACACGGGGAACCUCACCCGGCCCGGACACGGAAAGGAUUGACAGACGGAGGGCUCUUUCUCGAUCCCGUGGGUGGUGGUGCAUGGCCGUUCUUAGUUGGUGGAGCGAUUUGUCUGGUUAGUUCCGAUAACGAACGAGACUCUGGCAUGCUAAAUAGUUACGCGGCCACCCCCGCGGCCCGCGGCCAACUUCUUAGAUGGACAAGUGGAGCGUCAGUCUCGCGAGAUGGAGCAAUAACAGGUCUGUGAUGCCCUUAGAUGUCCGGGGCCGCACGCGCGCUACACUGACCGAAGCAGCGUGUGUUGUCCUCCGCCGAGAGGCGUGGGUAACCCGCUGAACCCCGCUCGUGAUGGGGACCGGGGGUUGAAACCUUCCCCCGCGAACGAGGAAUUCCAAGUAAGCGCGGGUCACCAGCUCGCGUUGACUAAGUCCCUGCCCUUUGUACACACCGCCCGUCGCUACUACCGAUUGGAUGGUUUAGUGUGGUCCUCGGAUCGGUCGGCCGGGUCGGGGCUCCGCGCCGGCCCGGCCAGGCACCGAGAAGACGAUCGAACUUGACUAUCUAGAGGAAGUAAAAAUCGUAACAAGGUUUCCGUAGGUGAACCUGCGGAAGGAUCAU
rnacentral:rRNA from 1 species